GACGAACGCUGGCGGCGUGCCUAAUACAUGCAAGUCGAGCGGACAGAAGGGAGCUUGCUCCCGGAAGUUAGCGGCGGACGGGUGAGUAACACGUGGGCAACCUACCCUGUAGAUCGGGAUAACAUCGAGAAAUCGGUGCUAAUACCGGAUAAUCAUUUGAAGUGCAUGCUUCGAAUGUAAAAGAUGGCUCCGGCUAUCACUACGGGGUGGGCCCGCGGCGCAUUAGCUAGUUGGUAAGGUAAUGGCUUACCAAGGCAACGAUGCGUAGCCGACCUGAGAGGGUGAGCGGCCACACUGGGACUGAGACACGGCCCAGACUCCUACGGGAGGCAGCAGUAGGGAAUCUUCCGCAAUGGACGAAAGUCUGACGGAGCAACGCCGCGUGAGUGAUGAAGGUUUUCGGAUCGUAAAGCUCUGUUGUUAGGGAAGAACAAGUGCCGUUUGAAUAAGGCGGCACCUUGACGGUACCUAACCAGAAAGCCACGGCUAACUACGUGCCAGCAGCCGCCGUAACAC
rnacentral:rRNA from 1 species